UGAUCCUGGCUCAGAACGAACGCUGGCGGCGUGCUUAACACAUGCAAGUCGAACGCGAAAGGGACUUCGGUCCUGAGUAAAGUGGCGCACGGGUGAGUAACGCGUAGAUAACCUGUCUUUAUGUCUGGAAUAAUACGCCGAAAGGGGUACUAAUACCGGAUAUUCUUGCUUUAUAUAAGUUUUGCAAGCAAAGGUGGCCUCUGACAUAAGCUACUGCAUAAAGAGGGGUCUGCGUACCAUUAGCUUGUAGGUGGGGUAAUGGCCUACCUAGGCGACGAUGGUUAGCGGGUCUGAGAGGAUGAUCCGCCACACUGGCACUGGAACACGGGCCAGACUCCUACGGGAGGCAGCAGUGAGGAAUAUUGCGCAAUGGGGGGCAACCCUGACGCAGCGACGCCGCGUGAGUGAGGAAGGCCUCGGG
rnacentral:rRNA from 1 species